rnacentral:rRNA from 1 species
UACGAAGGGGGCUAGCGUUGCUCGGAAUUACUGGGCGUAAAGCGCACGUAGGCGGUCUUUUAAGUCGGGGGUGAAAUCCUGGAGCUCAACUCCAGAACUGCCUUCGAUACUGGAAGACUCGAGUCCGGGAGAGGUGAGUGGAACUGCGAGUGUAGAGGUGAAAUUCGUAGAUAUUCGCAAGAACACCAGUGGCGAAGGCGGCUCACUGGCCCGGUACUGACGCUGAGGUGCGAAGGCGUGGGGAGCGAACGGG